GAUGAACGCUGGCGGCGUGCAUAACACAUUCAAGUCGAACGGAGUCAAUGUUUUAGAUCCCUUCGGGGUGACGAAGCAUUAACUUAGUGGCGGACGGGUGAGUAACGCGUGAGCAACCUGCCUUUGCGAGGGGGAUAACGUUUGGAAACGAACGCUAAUACCGCAUUAUGUAUGGGAAUCGCAUGUUUUCCAUACCAAAGAUUUAUCGCGCAAAGAUGGGCUCGCGUCUGAUUAGGUAGUUGGUGAGGUAACGGCUCACCAAGCCGACGAUCAGUAGCCGGACUGAGAGGUUGAACGGCCACAUUGGAACUGAGAUACGGUCCAG
rnacentral:rRNA from 1 species